CUGCUCUGCCUGAUGCCAACCCGUGCAGUUGCUGGAGGAGCCAGCAUCUUGGCAUACAUAAUAUGAAGGAGUAUUGAACAUAGAAUAAUCCUGUGAGCCUAAAAAGGUCAGAAGAGCCACCAGAAGUCCUAGAACCAUACCAAAAUUUGGCAGCAGCUGAGUCCUGUAAGCCAGUGCAGCCUUGAGGAGCAAUCUGCCUCACCCAGUCCUCCAGUGAAUCAGCCAGGAAGCUGAAAUGCUUUGUCCUAUAAGCAAGGAAGCAACACUAUUCAUCAUCUGUGCCACUUUCAGAAAUGAGCUCAAAUGCUUUGGAGCAGCCAGUUAAGUGGGAGCCCACUCUUCCCAGGGAACAAGAACUCACAGACUCUUUGGACCAUGACGUGGCAUCACAGGAAAAGAAUACAUUGGGAGAUUCUAAUGAGCAUCAUCUAAGACAAACCUUGAGGAGAAGUCCAAGAGGUCCACUGUGAAUCUGUGCCUAAGGUCCAGUGCUCUAUCCGCUGUGCUGCUGCCUAACUACGUAUACCAGCUUGCCUUCUCUGGCCUAAAACUGGGUUGAACCAAUCAAGAUACAGUCUGAAAAGAUCCGCAGCUCUGUCCUGGAAAUAAAAUUUACU